UUCACCUUAUUUAUCAUGCUAGUUUCUGUAUUGUGUCACGUGUUUAUUAAAUUUGAAUUUUAAAAUAUUAUUUUAAUUAAUUUGUUCUAUGUACGUUAUUUUUCAAAGCGUUAUAUUGUAAUACAUAUUUUGCCCGUUAGUCCAUUUCGAUUUGAAUGGUUAUAUAACGGGCUUAAGCAAAACUCGACUGGUUCAGUGGCGUGGCGUGAUUUUUAACGAAUAUCAGGCGGCUAAUACACCACAAGAAUGUGUGACCUUAAAACAAGAAAACGAAAAUAAUAAAGACCAAAUCGUACAGUUUUAUUCAUCAUAUAUAACUGUUAGAUGAUAAAAUAAAUAAUAGAAGCAGAGAAAAUAAGCUCCAUCAUUUUGAAAAACUGACAAUUGUAUUUUGGCAAUCCAAAAUUGCCCUCGAGAAACGAUCAAAGAAAAUAAUCAAGCAGUGUUACCAAGAAAAGCAACCGAGAAAUCAAACAAAUUGGAAUGUUUAGACCUCGUUGAAAAUAUCAGAAUGAAACGCACAGAAUGUAUGUAUUGGCUGAUACGAGAAAAGUUGGACAAAGUUGAAAAUAAAUAAAUGAAAAGUCGUCGAAAUCAAAAAAAAAAUAAGCCAACCUAAAUUCAGAUAUGGUUUUUGAGGAAAACACUUUAAGCACACGUCACAUUGGUAGUUAAUACGGUUUCGGCCACAUUCAUUUGAUAAGCCCUACCAGUGUGAUGUGUGCUUAGUAUUUUUCUCAAAAUUUCUACCCUAAAGUAUACAAACUCCAAUACUUGAGUUAAUACAUUGGAGAUGACUGCCGUGUUUAACGCGGUCUUUAUUAUUCACUAUAUGAGAUGGCAAUAUUAUUAUCGGGCAACAACGUUGAGGACGAACAAACCGCGUUAGACAUGGCACCCGUCUUGAACGUAGCAAUGUCAUAAAAUUAGUUUAGUCUCCAAUGUGUUAAUAGGCUAACAUCAUUUGUUAGCUCAGGGCACCUACAUUUAACAAUUUGCAAUUGAUGUCUUGGCCUAGAUGUAAAAAAUGUAUUUUUUUUUAAUCCGUUUAUAAUUUAAUAUUUUUGAUUUGUUGUGAAUCUAACUACAGCUUAUAGAUAUUUUAGAAUUUAUGUAUAAUACAUCUAGUUUAGCUUCUGCGUGAUGAUUUUAAAAAUGUGUAUUUUUUUUUACAUUGAACACGAUGGUGUUUUCUGUUUGACUGCUCGUUACAUAUUUUAAGGCUCCAACUCAUAAACUUAGUAUUACCAGUCAAAUUUGAAAAUAGUAUCUAAAAAAACAAAAAUUGAAAAUGUCACUUGUAGCUAAACCAGAUUUGUUUAUCGAUAUUUUGUGUUGUACAUUUUUAUGUUUUUAAUUUAUCAUACCUAAAUGUAAUUAUGUCAGUUAUAAUAAUUUGAUCUGUCAUCUGUUUAAAUGUUUUUGUUUUUUACUCAAUAUUAUAUAGCAUUUUUUCAUGU